CGUGGGUGAUCUGCCUCGUACUUUGGGAUAAGCCUGGGAAACUGGGUCUAAUACCGAAUAUGACCUUCCCUCGCAUGGGGGUUGGUGGAAACUUUUUGGGUACGAGAUGGGCCCGCGGCCUAUCAGCUUGUUGGUGGGGUAAUGGCCUACCAAGGCGACGACGGGUAGCCGGCCUGAGAGGGCGACCGGCCACACUGGGACUGAGACACGGCCCAGACUCCUACGGGAGGCAGCAGUGGGGAAUAUUGCACAAUGGGCGCAAGCCUGAUGCAGCGACGCCGCGUGAGGGAUGACGGCCUUCGGGUUGUAAACCUCUUUCACCAGGGACGAAGAGAAAUUGACGGUACCUGGAGAAGAAGCACCGGCCAACUACGUGCCAGCAGCCGCGGUAAUACGUAGGGUGCGAGCGUUGUCCGGAAUUACUGGGCGUAAAGAGCUCGUAGGCGGUUUGUCGCGUCGUUCGUGAAAUCUUGAUGCUUAACA
rnacentral:rRNA from 1 species